AUUAGAGUUUCUCAUGGCUCAGGAUGAACGCUAGCUACAGGCUUAACACAUGCAAGUCGAGGGGCAUCACUAUCGAAGCUUGCUUUGAUAGAUGGCGACCGGCGCACGGGUGAGUAACGCGUAUCCAACCUUCCCUAUAGUAGAGAAUAGCCCGGCGAAAGUCGGAUUAAUGCUCUAUGUUGUAUUUAGAAGACAUCUGAAGAAUACCAAAGGUUCACCGCUAUAGGAUGGGGAUGCGUCUGAUUAGGUAGUAGGCGGGGUAACGGCCCACCUAGCCGACGAUCAGUAGGGGUUCUGAGAGGAAGGUCCCCCACAUUGGAACUGAGCCAUGAUCAAACUC
rnacentral:rRNA from 1 species